rnacentral:rRNA from 1 species
ACGUGAAACCUUGUGGGAAGCAGGGAGGACCACCUCCCAAGGCUAAAUACUACCUAGUGACCGAUAGUGAAGCAGUACCGUGAGGGAAAGGUGAAAAGAACCCCGGAAGGGGAGUGAAAUAGAACCUGAAACCGUGUGCCUACAACCGAUCGGAGCACGUUAAAGUGUGACGAUGUGCUUUUUGUAGAACGAGCCAGCGAGUUACGCUAUGUAGCAAGGUUAAGUACUUAAGGUAUGGAGCCGAAGGGAAACCGAGUCUGAAAAGGGCGAAAAGUUGCAUGGUGUAGACCCGAAACCGGGUGACCUAUCCAUGGCCAGGUUGAAGCGAGAGUAAAAUCUCGUGGAGGACCGAACCACGUUGGUGUUGAAAAACCAUGGGAUGAGCUGUGGAUAGCGGAGAAAUUCCAAUCGAACUCGGAGAUAGCUGGUUCUCCUCGAAAUAGCUUUAGGGCUAGCGUCGUGUAAUUGAGUAAUGGAGGUAGAGCACUGAAUGGGCUAGGGGCUAUAGUAGUUACCGAACCCUAUCAAACUCCGAAUGCCAUAUACUUGUAUCACGGCAGUCAGACUGCGAAUGAUAAGAUCCGUAGUCAAA